UGAUAAAGGGGAAGCUUGAGAAUAAUGCUU
rnacentral:piRNA from 1 species